UACGAAGGGGGCUAGCGUUGUUCGGAAUUACUGGGCGUAAAGCGUGCGUAGGUGGUUCGUUAAGUCUGAUGUGAAAGCCCUGGGCUCAACCUGGGAAUUGCAUUGGAUACUGGCGGGCUAGAGUGCGGUAGAGGAUGGCGGAAUUCCCGGUGUAGCAGUGAAAUGCGUAGAGAUCGGAAGGAACAUCUGUGGCGAAGGCGGCCAUCUGGACCAGCACUGACACUGAGGCACGAAAGCAUGGGGAGCAAACAGG
rnacentral:rRNA from 1 species